rnacentral:rRNA from 1 species
GUUCCCACUGGUGACUCUGGAUAACUUUGUGCUGAUCGCAUGGCCUUACGUGCCGAUGUCUGCCCUAUCAAAUGUCGAUCGUUGCCCUUCACGGGAUUGUCGUUGCUACGUGCCUACCAUGUUGUAUCUCUGGGCUCGGGACAUGCCUAGGGGAAUCAGGGUUCGAUUCCGGAGAGGGAGCAUGAGAAACGGCUACCACAUACGUCAUCACGGCCCAAGGAAGGCAUGCCUACCUCAGGCGCUCAACUUACC